rnacentral:rRNA from 1 species
GCUUGCGGCGUGCUUAACACAUGCAAGUCGAACGGAAAGGCCCUGCUUUUGUGGGGUGCUCGAGUGGCGAACGGGUGAGUAACACGUGAGUAACCUGCCCUUGACUUUGGGAUAACUUCAGGAAACUGGGGCUAAUACCGGAUAGGAGCUCCUGCUGCAUGGUGGGGGUUGGAAAGUUUCGGCGGUUGGGGAUGGACUCGCGGCUUAUCAGCUUGUUGGUGGGGUAGUGGCUUACCAAGGCUUUGACGGGUAGCCGGCCUGAGAGGGUGACCGGCCACAUUGGGACUGAGAUACGGCCCAGACUCCUACGGGAGGCAGCAGUGGGGAAUAUUGCACAAUGGGCGGAAGCCUGAUGCAGCAACGCCGCGUGCGGGAUGACGGCCUUCGGGUUGUAAACCGCUUUCGCCUGUGACGAAGCGUGAGUGACGGUAAUGGGUAAAGAAGCACCGGCUAACUACGUGCCAGCAGCCGCGGUGAUACGUAGGGUGCGAGCGUUGUCCGGAUUUAUUGGGCGUAAAGGGCUCGUAGGUGGUUGAUCGCGUCGGAAGUGUAAUCUUGGGGCUUAACCCUGAGCGUGCUUUCGAUACGGGUUGACUUGAGGAAGGUAGGGGAGAAUGGAAUUCCUGGUGGAGCGGUGGAAUGCGCAGAUAUCAGGAGGAACACCAGUGGCGAAGGCGGUUCUCUGGGCCUUUCCUGACGCUGAGGAGCGAAAGCGUGGGGAGCGAACAGGCUUAGAUACCCUGGUAGUCCACGCUGUAAACGGUGGGUACUAGGUGUGGGGUCCAUUCCACGGGUUCCGUGCCGUAGCUAACGCUUUAAGUACCCCGCCUGGGGAGUACGGCCGCAAGGCUAAAACUCAAAGGAAUUGACGGGGCCCCGCACAAGCGGCGGAGCAUGCGGAUUAAUUCGAUGCAACGCGUAGAACCUUACCUGGGUUUGACAUGGAUCGGGAGUGCUCAGAGAUGGGUGUGCCUCUUUUGGGGUCGGUUCACAGGUGGUGCAUGGCUGUCGUCAGCUCGUGUCGUGAGAUGUUGGGUUAAGUCCCGCAACGAGCGCAACCCUUGUUCACUGUUGCCAGCACGUUAUGGUGGGGACUCAGUGGAGACCGCCGGGGUCAACUCGGAGGAAGGUGGGGAUGACGUCAAGUCAUCAUGCCCCUUAUGUCCAGGGCUUCACGCAUGCUACAAUGGCUGGUACAGAGAGUGGCGAGCCUGUGAGGGUGAGCGAAUCUCGGAAAGUCGGUCUCAGUUCGGAUUGGGGUCUGCAACUCGACCUCAUGAAGUCGGAGUCGCUAGUAAUCGCAGAUCAGCAACGCUGCGGUGAAUACGUUCCCGGGGCUUGUACACACCGCCCGUCAAGUCAUGAAAGUUGGUAACACCCGAAGCCGGUGGCCUAACCGUUGUGGGGGAGCCGUCGAAGGUGGGACUGGUGAUUAGGACUAAG